rnacentral:ribozyme from 1 species
UUCAAAUGUUGAUAGUUCGUUUCUUUUUUGUUUGUCGUUUUCCUUGUUUUUGUUGAAAUCGGAAAAGAAAUCGGAAAUGUGGUUGAUUGCGUGAUCUGUGAGGCAAUGAAGGAAAACCUCUUCCUUUUUUUUUUUUGAAAAAUCUGAAAGAAAACCAAGUUGAGUGAAAUUUUUUUUUUUCGUGUAUUCCACU